rnacentral:rRNA from 1 species
AGUGAACGCUGGCGGUAGGCCUAACACAUGCAAGUCGAACGGCAGCACAGUAAGAGCUUGCUCUUACGGGUGGCGAGUGGCGGACGGGUGAGGAAUACAUCGGAAUCUACUUUUUCGUGGGGGAUAACGUAGGGAAACUUACGCUAAUACCGCAUACGACCUACGGGUGAAAGCAGGGGAUCUUCGGACCUUGCGCGAUUGAAUGAGCCGAUGUCGGAUUAGCUAGUUGGCGGGGUAAAGGCCCACCAAGGCGACGAUCCGUAGCUGGUCUGAGAGGAUGAUCAGCCACACUGGAACUGAGACACGGUCCAGACUCCUACGGGAGGCAGCAGUGGGGAAUAUUGGACAAUGGGCGCAAGUCUGAUCCAGCCAUACCGCGUGGGUGAAGAAGGCCUUCGGGUUGUAAAGCCCUUUUGUUGGGAAAGAAAGGCAGCAGGUUAAUACCCCGCUGUUCUGACGGUACCCAAAGAAUAAGCACCGGCUAACUUCGUG